UAAUUCAUUUUAAGGACUGUAGUGGUUCUCAUAACGGUUUGCUUUAAUGUGGGCAUUAAAAGUUAUGUGCCGCUUAUUUUCUCAGUAAUCAU